CUUGGAGGUUGUGGCCUUGAGCCGUGGCUUUCGGAGCUAACGCGUUAAGUAGACCGCCUGGGGAGUACGGUCGCAAGAUUAAAACUCAAAUGAAUUGACGGGGGCCCGCACAAGCGGUGGAGCAUGUGGUUUAAUUCGAUGCAACGCGAAGAACCUUACCUACUCUUGACAUCCAGAGAACUUUCCAGAGAUGGAUUGGUGCCUUCGGGAACUCUGAGACAGGUGCUGCAUGGCUGUCGUCAGCUCGUGUCGUGA
rnacentral:rRNA from 1 species